CUAUGGAUUGUAAACUUCUUUUGUAAGGGAAUAAAAAACGUCACGUGUGGCGUCUUGUAUGUACUUUACGAAUAAGGAUCGGCUAACUCCGUGCCAGCAGCCGCGGUAAUACGGAGGAUCCAAGCGUUAUCCGGAUUUAUUGGGUUUAAAGGGUGCGUAGGCGGACCUGUAAGUCAGUGGUGAAAGUUUGCAGCUCAACUGUAAAAUUGCCAUUGAAACUGUAGGUCUUGAGUGUAAAUGAGGUAGGCGGAAUGUGUUGUGUAGCGGUGAAAUGCUUAGAUAUAACACAGAACACCAAUUGCGAAGGCAGCUUACUAGGAUACAACUGACGCUGAGGCACGAAAGCGUGGGGAUCAAACAGGAUUAGAUACCCUGGUAGUCCACGCAGUAAACGAUGAAUACUAGCUGUAUGCGAUAUACUGUAUGUGGCAAAGCGAAAGCGUUAAGUAUUCCACCUGGGGAGUACGUUCGCAAGAAUG
rnacentral:rRNA from 1 species